CGCUUUAGAUGAUAACAACUUUUUGAUUAACCUUCGAGUUCGACUCAUUUUACAGUAAUUUAUUUUUCAUAGAUUCCUCUUCUGAUGUUGCGACAGGUCUUCUUCAAAGAGGAAGAAAACAUCAUUAAAGAAAGUGUCGUGAUAAUAGGAAAUGCAGCAGAAGUGUCGGGUAAGCAUUUAGAUCCAGGGGUGUUUAACCGUUGCUUGGGUCCUAACCCGCCACCCGGAUGUCAGGUUCCCGAUUCCAAGGAGAAAACUCGUACACCCGCUCACGACUAUCGUCGUGGUUGCCAGAAAAGUCAACAUUGCCGUCAAGAUUAAAACCUUAUGGUGUUAAACUAACAUUAACCCAAGAAUCCUAAUAAGUGAUUUCUGAUACUAUAUUUACAUAUAGACAAAGAUUAUGCACUCUGUAAUAUGUUAUUAUUAUUAUUAUCAUUAUCAUAAUCAUAUCGUUGUACAUAUUAUGUUUCAAUUGUCGGACUAUUUUUUCAAGUAUUUUUUUGGCAUGCAAUUACCAACACAAGUUUGGAAUAAUGUAUUGUGAUAAAUGUAUAGAUCAAUUACCUUCAAAUAA